rnacentral:piRNA from 1 species
UAAGGUUGGCCAGUUAAUGAUGGGUUGAUA